AGCACUUCGGUGCGAGUACAGCGGCGGACGGGUGAGUAACGCGUAGGAAUCUACCUAGUAGUGGGGGACAACAUGUGGAAACGCAUGCUAAUACCGCAUACGCCCUAAGGGGGAAAGCAGGGGAUCUUCGGACCUUGCGCUAUUGGAUGAGCCUGCGUCAGAUUAGCUAGUUGGUGGGGUAAUGGCCUACCAAGGCAACGAUCUGUAGCUGGUCUGAGAGGAUGACCAGCCACACUGGAACUGAGACACGGUCCAGACUCCUACGGGAGGCAGCAGUGGGGAAUAUUGGACAAUGGGCGCAAGCCUGAUCCAGCCAUGCCGCGUGUGUGAAGAAGGCUCUAGGGUUGUAAAGCACUUUCAGUAGGGAGGAAAAGUUAGUAGUUAAUAUCUGCUAACCCUGACGUUACCUACAGAAGAAGCACCGGCAAACUCCGUGCCAGCAGCCGCGGUAAUACGGAGGGUGCGAGCGUUAAUCGGAAUUACUGGGCGUAAAGCGCGCGUAGGCGGUUUGAUAAGCUGGAUGUGAAAGCCCUGGGCUCAACCUGGGAACUGCAUCCAGAACUGUCUGACUAGAGUACAGUAGAGGUGAGUGGAAUUUCCUGUGUAGCGGUGAAAUGCGUAGAUAUAGGAAGGAACAUCAGUGGCGAAG
rnacentral:rRNA from 1 species